CAGUUUGAGGCAAUGACAAUUAAACCUAAAAUAAAAACAAAGAAAUGAAAUAACCAAUACUAGAUCUCCCAAGCUGCAGCAUGCGCGAUAACCUAGUGUUUUCAGGCAUAUCAGAAAAUCCCGAAAAAACUUUAUGCAAACACGCCUCAAACUGCCACCCAAACAAACCAAACAGAUCUCCUUCCAUUGCAUUCAUCGGAUCGGUAAUUUCAAGACGAACAGCACCAAACCGAGGCCCAAGGACAAAGAAUUUGUUAAAACUCAUGGCAAGGAACUGAAAGGCACUCACUGUAGUAUAAACGACCAGAUCCCAAGGGAAAUACAGGACAGAUGUAAACUGCUGUACCAAAUCUGGAAAUUUCUCAUUCGGGGAGGAAAAUGUGCUGUCAUUUCUGUGGACAAACUGUGAAAAACUGUCCAUAGGGAACUUUACCGUGACCGGAACAUGACCACCUGGCUGAACAACGACCACCUCCGCUAAACAUGAACUCGCACAAACAACCCCCCCGCCCACACACACACACACACACAUGCACACUCACACACACCUUUGUUGUCAAUCCGUUUGUGUAUUUGUCCAUUGUCUGUCCCAUGUUUGUCUGUCUGUCAAUCUGUCAGUCCAUCCCCAUAUUUGUCAGUCUGUCCCUCCCCAUGUUUGUCAGUUUGUCUGUCCCCAUGUUUGUCAGAUAUGUCACUUGCUUCUUAUCUGUCUGUCUGUCUGUCUGUCUGUCUGUCUGUAUGUCUGUCUGUCUGUGUUAAACAUCAAAUAUAUAUAUUGUUUAUUUUUGGAUAAAAAUGACAUAAGUUAAAUUAGGAUCAGUAUCAGUAUUACUCAAGUGUGGAUCACAUUUAUUUAUUUACUUUUUAAAUUUAUUUAUUUAUUUUUGACUUAGUUAAAAAAAAAAAAGAAAUUAAUAAAAUCAAGUUUGUUAGCACAUUCUUCUCCUCAUUUAAUAACAUGCCUGAUUUAUCUUUAAUUAUCGGAGGAGAUUUCAAUACAGUUAUAGACCACACACUUGACAGAUGGUACACCCCAAACGCCUUCAAACCAUGGACUUCAUCUGAAAUAAUAAAACAACACAUGAAUGACUUUGGUCUUGGAGACAUUUGGCAAUUACACAACCUAACAUCCAUGGAAUAUUCCUAUCACUCACACAUUCAUAUAUCUUUCUCACGCAUAGAUUUCUUUCUCAUUAGCAACUCCAUCAUAUCCACUAUCACUGAUACAAAUAUCCAUCCCAUUGUAAUAAGUGACUACGCCCCUGUAUCUUUUUCCCUGAACACCAAUUACCCUAUCAAACCUUUCUGCUCAAGAUGGCGCUUCGAUACCACUCUCCUUAAAGAUCCUGAUUUUACACUCCAUGAGAGUGUGCGUCCUUGAUUGAUAUGAACGACUCUCCAGACACCUCACCAACAACUCUGUGGGAAACAGCAAAAGCAGUAAUGAGAGGAAAAAGAGCAUCACUCUCCUCAUACAAGAAGAAAAAAGACAUGGAGAUUGAAACUGAACAAGAGAAAAAUUCAGCAGGGAGGCCAAUGUUCUCACCCCAAGACAUCAACGAAUUUUUUGAUCAUUUUAUAGUAAACUAUACACCUGUGAUCAUGAACCGGAUAUAUUAGAAAUUGAUUCAUUUUUAGAUACUCUCAACCUUCCCAAAAUAACAACAGAUCAAGCACAUAUCCUGGACAAACCACUCACACAAGAUGAAUACUUUCAGGCACUUGACCAAAUGCCAAACAAUAGAGCACCCAGUCCUGAUGGCCUCCGUGCUGAAUUCUUCAAACAUUUCUGGAACACUAUUUCACCACUAUUCAUGAAAAUGUUCCAAGAAAUCAAACGUACCUCCAAAAUUUCUCCAACACAUGAACAUUGCUCUCCUCUCAUUGCUGCUGAAGCCAGACAAAGGCCCAACUCAAUGCUCCAGUUACCGGCCUCUAUCACUAAUCAACACAGACAUUAAAAUAAUAACCAAGGCCCUGAUCAUCCGCAUCGAAAAAAUUAUUCCUUAAAUAUUUCAUCCUGAUCAAACUGGCUUCAUUAAAGGACAGCAUUCCUCAAAUAACAUGCAAAGACUUUUUAACCUGAUAAACAUUUCUGAACCUAACAACCUCAAAACCAUUGUUACUUCCCUGGAUGCUGAUAAAGCUUUCAACAGAGUCAACCAUACAUUUCUUUUUUCAACACUUCAAAAAUUUGGUUUUGGAGAGUCGUUCAUACACUGGAUCAAAACACUAUACUCUUCACCCAUGGCCACUGUAACCACCAAUGGAACAAUAUCAAAGCCAUUCAACCUACAUAGAGGAACAAGACAGGAAUGCCCACUCUCCCCAUCACUCUUUGUCCUAUUCAUUGAGCCUCUAGCAAUUGCAAUACUCCAGAAUCAUAAUAUUCAAGGCAUCCAUGUUUCCAACUACCAUCACAAGAUCAGCUUAUAUGCAGAUGACAUUUUAUUGUACCUCCAGUCCACAUCCAAUUCACUGCAAGAAGUCACAAAGCUCAUUAAUCACUACUCAAAAAUAUCAGAGUACAAAAUAAACUGGACCAUAUCUACCAAUCUUGCCUCUGAGUGGGGGGGUCUGGAUGGCAGCAUCCUUACAUGCACCCCCUCCCUUAUCCGUUGGUAAGAUCAAAUACUUAGGUAUAAACAUUUCCACCAAGCUUUCAGAGUUGUUCAAAUUAAAAUUCACUCCAUUACUCAAAACCAUUGAAGACGAUCUCAACUGUUGGAUGAACUUACCACUUUCUCUCACUGGUAGAAUAGCUGUAAUCAAAAUGUCAAUAUUACCUCAAAUCAAUUAUCUUUUUACAAAGAUCCCAACCCAACCUACUACCAAUUGGUUUCAAUUACUGCACUCCAUCAUAAACAAAUUUUAUUGGAAAAAUAAAAAAAAACAAGGAUCAAACCCUCAACAUUACAAAAAAGUCAAACAUCAGGUGGCCUAGAGGCACCCAUUUUUCUUUUUUUUUUCUUGCCAACCUCUUAUAAUAUAUUUAAAUGGAUUAAUCACCCAACACAGCCUCACCUAUGGACGGAACUAGAACAAGCAAAUAGGCACAAAAAACAACCAAAAAAAAAAAAACACAAAAAUGGAAAAUUGACCUAGUGAUCAGUCCCAAUGCAGAUUACUGGUCACAAAUCUGCCAGAACACCUUCACAAUGUCAAAAAAAUACAAAUAUACAACUAAUACAGUAUAAACUAUGAAGUCACAGAGCUCAUGGCACAUAGAAUACAUAAAAUGGGACUUAAAGACACAGACAUUUACUCAUCAUGUACACUAAACACUCCAGACACUCAUUACCAUGCAAUGUGGCUCUGCCCCCCCAGUACAAACUUUCUGGGAGAGGGUCAUCAAAAAAAUUUCACAACUCUUGGGAUGCAACCUGUGUGUGGGUCAGCCAGUCUGAUUCUGUUUGUCAGUGUUAACCAGGUCCUGUGGCCAAACAGUCUGACCGUCUGAACGGAACAGAAGUGACCUCACAUAUUUAAAUAGACCUGUGCUAUCUUUGCUCAAAUGACACCAGAUUGAGUCUCUAAAGAUACAAUAAUGCUUUUUACAAUUCUUUGGGCAGAAGAAACAAAACAGAUGCCACAAGAAUCAAAAUCAGAUCUUUUUCAGAAAAGCUUGCUCAGCCAACAUGAAAAGGAAAAAAGUCUCUCCCAUUUGAGUCCAAUUUUCCGAUGUUACGAAACUCCUCCGGCAAAGAGAGGGUUUCGCAAUCAUCCAGGAAACUUCAGGAUGUUAAUAAUUACAAAAAACAAAGACAUGACAAAAAAAUGAACAACUUAGAAAACAGAUAAAGAAGCCUGCCAAUGUGCACAGAGCUGUAAAGCUCUCUGAGAUUAUUAGAGAGAAAGAUUCAAGAUUUAUCAGGAAAUGCUUCAACCACACCUCUAAACACUCUCACAUCACGCACAUCAUUCUUCCAAUUUAGGAAUGAAAAUCUCUCAAUGUGGUUCUUAAAUUCAUCCAGAAACAUUUAGGAUCUUGGUCCAUCAGUUAUAACUCAGUGUGAUCCCUGCUCAUGUGGGGAUUUAUGAAAAUAAAGUGGUUUUAUGGUUUCAGACUUGAUGACUGACAGAAGAGUUCCGACUGAGUGUUGAAACUCAAACUACACCCAACCAGCACCAUCAUAAUUAUAAAUGUCCCUUCUUCUACCUUUGAAAACUUUUUUUUUUUUUUCAUUUUGUUUCCAAGUUAUUGAGUUAUCCUGUGUUCCAUGAAAUUCUUGUGUUUUGCAAGAGCUGUCUCAAUGAUCUGGUGUUAGGUGGCCAGAAAACUCCCUCCAAGUUUUUUCAACUCAUCCUUUCUUCGUCUUAUUUUACAAUGUCUUUGUAUCAGGAGACAGUAAACCAGUCAUCAACCAUGCCUUUAAAUACGACAUGAUCAUUUAUUUUUUAUCAGCCAUACCAUCUUUCAAUCUUAGUAUCUAAUUAUAAUGAUAAUGAACCUUUGAGUUAUUGGACGACCACUCUAUCUCUUAAGCUAAUGCUAAUGUUACAUUUGGAGUAAAUAUCAAAGUCUUAUUAUAAUCUAAUGUCUUUGAGAAGUGAGUUAUUCUUAAAACCACUAUUAUGUAAUGUGUUAUUCCACCAAACUCAUAGGUUAUAAACCCCCAAACUAUCCCUCUAGUUUUUACAUGCUGACAAGGAGUUAUAUUUUCAAUGUAACUUAGUUCAUUUAAGCUCUCAGGCUUAAAGACAACUACUACCACUGCCAUUUGGGACCUAAAACUAAAUAGAUGGCCGACCCUCUGGACCCUGACCUGCAGCUGACGGAGUGAGACUCUAGAGGACCGGUACAGGGAGGGUUUACGGG